rnacentral:rRNA from 1 species
GCGGUAAUACGAAGGGUGCAAGCGUUACUCGGAAUUACUGGGCGUAAAGAGUUGCGUAGGUGGUUUGUUAAGUAGAUAGUGAAAGCUGACGGCUCAACCGUACAGACUAUUAUCUAAACUGGCAAGCUCGAGAAUGGUAGAGGUAACUGGAAUUUCUUGUGUAGGAGUGAAAUCCGUAGAUAUAAGAAGGAACACCAAUGGCGUAGGCAGGUUACUGGACCAUUUCUGACACUGAGGCACGAAAGCGUGGGGAGCGAACGGG